rnacentral:rRNA from 1 species
AACAGGGUUUCCGUAGGUGAACCUGCGGAAGGAUCAUUG